UACGUAGGGGGCAAGCGUUGUCCGGAUUUAUUGGGCGUAAAGAGCGUGUAGGCGGUUUUGUAGGUCCGUUGUGAAAACUCGAGGCUCAACCUCGAGACUCCGGCGGAAACCAUCAGGCUAGAGUCCGGAAGAGGAGAGUGGAAUUCCUGGUGUAGCGGUGAAAUGCGCAGAUAUCAGGAAGAACACCCGUGGCUAAGGCGGCUCUCUAGUACGGUACUGACGCUGAGACGCGAAAGCGUGGGGAGCGAACAGG
rnacentral:rRNA from 1 species